UUUCUACUUGAAGAGUGCCUUCUUCAGGAGUUUCUAGCAAACCUUGAUUCUCAGAAUCAGUAGGUACCCUGUUUCCUGCACUACAUGACAAGUAUCCUAGAAACAAAUUGCAUUACACGACGUGAAUUCAUCUUGUUGUCUACAGGGAAUCAUUUGGAAAAAGGAGCAUAUUUUCUAGCUAGUGGGGGAAAAUGAGAGCCUUGCCUUGACUCUGAAACUUCUAAACAGACAGAUUUUUAUUAGAUUUCCUUGACUGUACAUCCUGCUGUCUUCAUGAAGUUGAACCCCCAUAUUCUGUGGUAAAAUGCACAGCAAAAGAAAUGUGUUAAUAUGGUGGAACUUGUGAAGAACGAGCUGCUGGAUAUUGCCUACCUAGUGUCAUUACGACAGUGCAAAUGGUUUUUUUUUUUUUUAUGGGGUGAAUGGGCUAAAAUAUAACUUGCAUGAGUUUUUACAUAGGUAAAAUUCAUAUCCUUGAUGCAAAGAACAAUGUUCCCUUUUCCACAGUGUGGAAGUCUCUAACAGUUUGCAGUACAAUGACUAGAAAAUCUUACGAAUAUGAAGAAGUGUUUUGUUCCAUGAAAAUACUGAAACAUAUUAAACAGAUAAAAAUAAUAGAAGUGCUGAGGGACUCUGAAAUGGAUGGUUACCAUUAGCAAAAGUAUAAGUGAAUCUCAUCUACUGUCAAUCUCCUUUAAACAGAGGGAGCAAUUCACUGAAAUUCCUUUUAUGAAUGAGAAGAUUUUUAAACCGCUUAAUGUAAACCAUUUCCAAUUAAGAUCUCACCCUUAUUAGAAAUAGAUCUUUUCAUAACAGCUGUAUCAAUCCUAGAUGUUUAGAAUGAAAGCUGUUCCUAAAAGCUUUCAAUAUUUGCUCCAUCUGUGUAAGAAGGGAAAAAUCCAAGCCAAAUAACAGUGGAAGAAAAAUUUGAGCUGACACUGAUUUAAAAACUGAAGUGAAACUUUGGUCCUGAAAAUGUGAGCAUAUUUACCUUCAAAUGUAGUUCCAUUUAUUCCUCCGAGCAAACUUCAGGGGUUGUUUGCAGAACUAAGACCUAGAUCUGCAAAAUACAACUUGUUUCUGAGACUCAGUUCCAUGUGAACUCAUAAGUACUGUGACAGUUAAGAGAGGCCCAAGAGUUCUGGGAGAACAUUGAAUUUUGAAGCCUUACAGUAUCAUAUUGUUUUUAUUAUACACACAGAUUUUCAAGGUGGCUGAGAACAGUUUAGACCCAAAUGUCUAUUCUACUUACUAAUUUCUUUUUAAUAUUUAUUUUGGUGUGUUAAAGAAUGGGGAAAUUACACAGUGUAUUUAGUAUAUCACUCAGUGGUGUAGAGCUACAGUGCCAAAGUCUUAAUGUGAAUUGGAUUGCAAAGCUUUUGGUCAUUUAUUUGCAAUCUGUGUGAGUGAGCCCCCUAAAUACUGAAGACUAAAAAACAAUAAGAAGGUUCUGUUUUGUUAAGUGUGCAUUGCAACAUAGUGUUUGUGUUUUAAUUAACUUAAUCUGUAUCUUCCUGAAUACUUCACUAUACCAUGAGAAAAUCCUGACUGAAUGCUUCCUGAGCACAGCAGCUUCCUCGUUGCUGCUGUUGUCCUGUGCUGGAGAGAUUUGUAAU
rnacentral:lncRNA from 1 species